GUCAGGAUGGCCGAGUGGUCUAAGGUGCUGCGUUCAUGUCGCAGUCUCCUCUGGAUGAGUGGGUUCGAAUUCAACUUCUGACA